rnacentral:lncRNA from 1 species
AACACCAGAUGGCAUGAGACGACCCUGCCUAGGGAAGGAAAAUUCUAGAGUCCCUUUGGCAGACUAGCCCCAAGGCAUGUUUCAAGAUCUUCCCACCUCAGAAUUGUCUUAUGUCUCCUCUAUGUGAAAGACACUGGGCCUUUUGGAGACACUUUAUUAAAAGAUAGGUUAUCAGGGGCAGCUGGGUGGUUCAGUCAGUUAAGUGUCAGAUUCUUGAUUUUGGCUCAGGUCAUGACCUCAAGGUUCAUGGGAUUGAGCCUGAAGCCUGCUUGGGAUUCUCUCUCUCCAUCUCUCCCUCUGCCCCUCCCCUGAUCAUUCUCUCUCUCUCUCAAAAUAAAUAAAUGAACAUUAAAAAAAAAAAAAAGACAAGUUUUGAGGAGGUUAGUGAAUAGAGCCAACUUGACAGACCUUUCUGGAAAUGAUAUGUAGUAAAAAGGGCAGGAUUUGGAGCCAGUCAGAUCUGAAUUUGAAUCCUUAUAACCAGCCACGCACCGACUACUGACAUUUCUUCUAGCAUUCUUAAAAUGUUAAGCAAAAUUAAAAAUAAUUUCUCAUGAGGUAACUUCUUACCAACAUCAGUUUUAUUGGGGUUUAUAAACUGCUCAAUCAUGAGCCUUUGCACUUUCUUGCGUUUGCCACUUUGGUUCGAUGAUUAGAUCUGGAAACACCGACAAGGUUGUUAAAACACAGAUAGGCUGGCUUCAAAACACUAAAAUUCAAUGACUAUGCAAGUCAUAAUCUGCCAAUUUGUAGUUAUUAGAGAAAUUAAACUCACCAGUAAGCAAAAGCAGGUGUAUUAUCUUAGCAGUAUAAUAUGAAUGUUAAUUUGGAGUUUGGUAAUCAGGGUUAUAUUGUCCACCUUGAAACCAUUUAUUGAUGCUUUAGGUUUGAAUACUAAAAACCUACAGCAUGAAUAUUUUUUAAAAAUCUCAGAUGCUUUACACUUGGUGGGUUUCAGAGCCCUCUGUGAAUUAUCUUAUAUCUCUAAGAUAAGCAUAGCUUUCACACUUAUUAUGUGGUAGAUGAAAGGGGUCAAGAACAACUAUCCCAGCCUGGAAAAAAAUAUGUUGGUUUUUUUUUUUUGUAAGGGGAAAAAACGACCUAGUUCCAGUGUUCCAAAUAAAGACAGGGAUUAUUCAAUACAAAUGCUGUUGGUAGUUGUUGGGUGGAGGUGAGCUGUACAAAGGUGAACCUUGUGUGUAUGCGGGUUGGGGUUGCCUUCUUUGUUCACUUGAUGUUAUAUCAUAAGAAUGUCUGUGUUGUAAUGUUGUAUACGGAAACAACGGUGCCAGGUAGAAGGUCAAUGUGCAAUGAAUAAAUAGGUUAUAGAAAAUCUACCAAAGUCAGAUGUUUCCAUCCAAACCAAGCUAUUAGUGUUCGGAAUUUGCAGUGACCUUCCAUCUUUCAGAUGGGGCUCUGGGGUUCACGGGGCACACAGAAAACGUCUGGGAGUCUGUAGACAGAAACUGCAGGCACGUCUCUUCUAUCACAAUUAAUGUCAGUAUUGCAUACAGUUUCUUGACAGCAUUUAUUAUAAUCAGCUUCUGUGGCUGUGGCUGCCAUGACCCCUGCCUUUCUCCCCUGUUCGAAAGGGAUCUGCUCAACAGGGUUAGCGUUAGUACAUGCUACUGUGUUCGUGCUGGCUUCCUUUGUGCUAUUGGUAAUUACUUGAUUGUCUCAACCACAAUGUGAUUUCCAACAUAAAAAAUCUAUAUAUCACGUGUGGGGAAAAGGAAUCAUGGUAUCGAGGUCUCAGAUUCCUAUCCUUUCAGUGUUGAUGAUCCUGAAGCAAUUUCAAGAAGGAUCACUUUGCUGGUUAUAAAAAUAAUGAUGCGGAAACUGGAUGACUCCCCCAUGCGUGGCCCAGAAGCCCUCCAGACAAAUAAGUGCAACGAUCCCUGUAACAUCUUCAUGAAACGGGUUUACUGCCCAGAACAAUUCGGCGUCUUCCAAGCGGCUUUUAGGACAACCUGAGCGAGCUGCGAUUUUAUUUGUUCACUUGUUUACUUGUUUGAGGGCAGAAGGAGCUUUCAUGGCCUGGGUGGUUCUUGACAGUCAGACCUAGAUCCUGACAGGCAAGGAUUUUGUUCUCUCUGUUUGGUGGCAUCAUUGUGACUUCCAAGAACAGAAAUACCUUGACCUCAGUGUUUUGGUGUUUUUUCUUUAAUGUUUAUUUAUUUUGUUACAGAGAAGGAGAGAGAGCAAGCCUGGAAGGGGCAGAGAGAGGGAGAGAGAAAUCCCAAGCGGGCUACACACUGUCAAUGCAGAGCCUGAUGUGGGGUUUGAAUCAUGACCUGAGCUGAAACCAAGAUUUGGAUGCUUAACCGACUGAGCCACCCAGGUGCUCUUUGACCUCAGUGUUUUAAGUGAGCAGAGGCCUGCUGCCACAUUUGGCCAAGUGGUGGCUAUUGCUCUCGGAUGUACCCUGAAAACACCAUCACAGUCAAUCAGUCCAUGAGCAGCCUGGCCUCUCAGGACUAGUCACUGGCGGGGCUGGGAAGACAACUGCCCCAUUAUGCUCACCACUGCUGAGUUGUACUGCACAACAAGCAAACAAAGCCCAGUUUCAUUUUCCUACCGAUCUGCAAUGUACCGUUCUAUCCACCUGCAUUAGGCACCAGAGAAUAAUAUAAAAUGGACUCUGAAUUUCUUUGGACUUUGAUCGCUUCUCUUCUGUACAGCCCUUGAACUCUUGGAACAGAAGCAUGAAGGACUAGGUAUUCUUUUAAUGUGGUCUGACCUUGUGGUGCCCCAGAAGUUAUCUCCAAAUAUUUUUCAAAAUGUCAAGCAGCGACGUCUAGAGCUCCUGUUUGCCUU